rnacentral:rRNA from 1 species
AUACGGAGGGUGCAAGCGUUAUUCGGAAUCACUGGGCGUAAAGGACGCGUAGGCGGGUUGGCAAGCCAGAUGUGAAAUCCUACAGCUUAACUGUAGAACUGCAUUUGAAACUGCUAACCUAGAGUAUGGGAGGGGGAGAUGGAAUUAGUGGUGUAGGGGUAAAAUCCGUAGAUAUCACUAGGAAUACCGAAAGCGAAGGCGAUCUCCUGGAACAUAACUGACGCUAAGGCGUGAAAGCGUGGGGAGCAAACAGGAUUAGAUACCCUAGUAGUCC